rnacentral:rRNA from 1 species
CAGCAGCCGCGGGAAUACGAGGGGGGCAAGCGUUGUUCGGAAUUAUUGGGCGUAAAGGGUGCGUAGGCGGCUUGACAAGUCUUGUGUGAAAUCUAUGGGCUCAACCCAUAGUCUGCACGGGAAACUGUCGGGCUUGAGAAUGGGAGAGGUGAGUGGAAUUUCCGGUGUAGCGGUGAAAUGCGUAGAUAUCGGAAGGAACACCUGUGGCGAAAGCGGCUCACUGGACCAUUUCUGACGCUGAUGCACGAAAGCUAGGGGAGCAAACAGGAUUAGAUACCCGCGUAGUCCCUGUCUCUUAUAA